AAAAAACAAAAAAAAAAGAGAGAGACACGCACAGAGAAAAGAUGAUGUGAAGCCACAACCCAGGGAGAAGGCUGCAUGAAGAUGGAGGCAGAGACUGCAGUGAUGCAUCUGUGAGUUAAGGAGUGCCAAAGAUCACCACAACCCCGGGGAGCUAGGAGGAGCAAGGAAGGGUCCUCUCCCAGAGCCUUCAGGGAGGGCAUGGCCCUGCCAACACCUUGAUUUUGGACUUCCAGCCUCUGGAACUAUGAGAGAAUAAAUUUCUAUUGUUUUAAGCUGCUCAGCUUGUGGUAAUUUGUUGCCGCAGCCCCAGGAAAUGAAUACAAGGGUAGAGAGAAGGUUUAACAAAGUCAUGUAUGUCACAAGGAACCAUAAAAAGGCCGAGACAAUGCUGAGCUCAGAUAAUGGCUUAUUCACUUCUAUUAUUUAUUUAUUUUUGAGACAGAGUCUGGAUCUGUCACCCAGGCUGGAGUGCAGUGGUACGAUCUUGGCUCACUGCAAUCUCCACCUCCCAGGAGAAUGGGGUAAACCCAGGAGGCGGAGCUUGCAGUGAGCUGAGAUCCGGCCACUGCACUCCAGCCUGGGCGACAGAGCGAGACUCUGUCUCAAAAAAAAAAAAAAAAAAAAAAAAGAAAUGUGAAGAUGCAAGAUUUGGGAGGGGCCAGGGGCAGAAUGAUAUGGUUUGGUUGUGUCCCCACCCAAAUCUCAUAUUGAAUUCCCAUGUGUUGUGGGAGGGACCCAGUCGGAGGUAAUUGAAUCAUGGCGGCAAGUCUUUCCUGUGCUGUUCUGGUGAUAGUGAAUAAGUCUCAUGAGAUCUGAUGGUUUUUAAAAGAGGAAUUCCCCCUACAAGCUCUCUCUCUUUGCCUGCCACCAUCCACGUAACAUGUGACUUGCUCCUCCUUGCCUUCUGCCAUGAUGGUGAGGCUUCCCCAGCCAUGUGGAACUGUAAGUCCAAUUAAACCUCUUUCUUUUGUAAAUUGCCCAGUUUUUAUCUUUAUCAGCAGCCUUAACACGGACUAAUACAGUUAGCUUCUAGAAUUUUUAUAAUUUUUGCAUUGUACAUUUAGAUGUAUGAUCCAUUUUCAGUUAGUAUUUGUGGAAGUAAGAUUUGUGUAUAGAUUCUUUUUUUUUUUUUUGCAUAUGCACGUCCAGUUGUUCCAGCAUCAUUAAAAGGCUAUUCUUUCUCCAUUGAAUUGCUUUGUUCUUUUGGUGUGGGUCUAUUUCUAGGCUCUUCAUUCUGUUCCAUUGAUCCAUGUGUCUGUUGUUUUGUCAGUUCCACGCUGUCUUGAUUUCUAUGGCUUUGUAGUAAGUCUUGGAGUCAGGGGUGUCAGUCCUCCAACUUUAUAGUCGUUUAGUGCUUUCAUUUUUGGAAGGUUAUUAAUUAUUGACUCAAUUUCUUUAAUAGAUAUAGGUUUAUCCAGAUUAUUGUUUCUUGUGUGAGUUUUGGCAGUUUAUAUCUUUCAAAGAAUUGGCCUAUUUCAUCUAGGUUAUCAAAUUUAUGGAAACAGUUGUUCGUGAUAUUCCUUUAUUAUCCUUUUAAUAUCCAUGGGAUCAGUAUUGAUGACCCCUCUUUAACUUCUGAAACAGUAGUCUUCCAUUGUUAGUGGCUCAAUUGCUGUAAACUUUAGUUAUCUGUGGUCAACAAGAGUCUAAAAAUAUUAAAUGGAAAAUUCCAGAAAUAAACAAUUCAUAAGUUUUAAAUUAUGAAUUUAUGCACCCUUUUUAGUAUCAUCAUGAAAUUUUGUGCUGUCCUGCUCCAUCCAGCCCAGGAUGUAAAUUAUCCGUUUUGUCCAAAUAUGCAUGCUGUGUAUGCCGCCUGCCUGUUAGUCAUCGACAUCAUCUGCUCCUGACAUGCUAUCAUCAACGUCAGCAUGGUUUGAUAAUCCAGGAUCAACUGAAGUAGAUGAUCCUCCUCCUGAUGUAUUGUGGCCUAACAAUAUAUGCCAAUGUUGAAAUGGCCACUGCAAAAUUAUAACUGAGGCAGUGAAAAGAGAUCUGACCUGGCCGGGUGCUGUGGCUCAUGCCUGUAAUCCCAGCACUCUGGGAGGCCGAGGUGAGGGAAUCACCUGAGGUCAGGGGUUCAAGACCAGCCUGGCCAACAUAGUGAAACCCCGUCUCUAGUAAAAAUACAAAAACUAGCUAGGCAUUGUGGUGCAUGCCGGUAGUCCCAGCUACUCAGAAGACUGAGGCAGGAGAAUCACUUGAACCAAGAAGGCUGAAGUUGCAGUGAGCUGAGAUCCUGCCACUGCACUCUAGCCUGGGUGACAAAGUGAGACUCCAUCUCAAAAAAAAAAAAAAGAAAGAGAUCUGACCUAACCAAUUCCAACUUACUUUUAACCUCCAAGCUAUCCUUGUUCAUUCCUGACCAUAGGACAAACUAUUAAUAACUUUAUUAAUAACUUUGGGAGGAACUUAGUUUACAGUUUAAAACAAAGAUGAUAACAGUCUUUUCCCAAAACAAAACCUCUUCUUGGCUGGGGACUAGACUGCCUUUGUAGAACUAACAAAUUAGCCAAAAGAUUAGAGAUUAUAGUUUAGGAGUCAUGCAGCUGGAGGUUACAAGAUUCUGACCCUCCCCAAAGAACUACUGGGGAAAUCAUCACCAUUGUAAAACCUAAGAUCACCUAAGAUCAGUGCUUGAGAUAUUUUGCAGAUCAGCUGGCACCACCCAGAUGGAUAAACUGACUCAUCUGAUCUUGCGGCCCCAACCCAGGAACUAACUCAGCGUAAGAGGACAGCUUUGGCUCUGUUUUUUUGUUUUUUUGUUUGUUUGUUUGUUUGAGACAGGGUCUCUCUCUGUCACCCAGGCUGGAGUACAGUGACACGAUCUUGGCUCACUGCUACCUCUACCUCCCAGGCUAAAGGGAUCCUCCUGCCUCAGCCUCUGGAGUAGCUGGGACUACAGGUGUGAGCCAACACGCCUGGCUAAUUUUUGUAUUGUUUGUAGAGAUGGGGUUUUGCCAUGUUACCUAAGCUGGUCUCAAACUUCUGAGCUCAAUCAAUCAGUCUGCCUCAGCCUUCA
rnacentral:lncRNA from 1 species